rnacentral:rRNA from 1 species
GAAUGCUGACAUAAGUAACGAUAAAGCGGGUGAAAAGCCCGCUCGCCGGAAGACCAAGGGUUCCUGUCCAACGUUAAUCGGGGCAGGGUGAGUCGACCCCUAAGGCGAGGCCGAAAGGCGUAGUCGAUGGGAAACAGGUUAAUAUUCCUGUACUUGGUGUUACUGCGAAGGGGGGACGGAGAAGGCUAUGUUGGCCGGGCGACGGUUGUCCCGGUUUAAGCGUGUAGGCUGGUUUUCCAGGCAAAUCCGGAAAAUCAAGGCUGAGGCGUGAUGACGAGGCACUACGGUGCUGAAGCGACAAAUGCCCUGCUUCCAGGAAAAGCCUCUAAGCAUCAGGUAACAUCAAAUCGUACCCCAAACCGACACAGGUGGUCAGGUAGAGAAUACCAAGGCGCUUGAGAGAACUCGGGUGAAGGAACUAGGCAAAAUGGUGCCGUAACUUCGGGAGAAGGCACGCUGAUAUGUAGGUGAAGCGACUUGCUCGUGGAGCUGAAAUCAGUCGAAGAUACCAGCUGGCUGCAACUGUUUAUUAAAAACACAGCACU